UGACAUUUUAUUAGUUUUGAUUUGAAAACUUCUUACUUUUUUUUUUGUUUGUACUUUUUCCCUUUUCCUUUGGAAACAAUAAAAGCGCGGUGGCGACUCUUGUUAUUUGAUCUCUAGCAUGUCAAUAGUUGUAUGAUCAUGAAUUUACCGCUACAGUAUUGUGUGGAAACUUGGCCUUUUUUCCUUCCUUUGGGAGAUGUCUUGGUUCAAGGAUCCAUGCUUGUGAUAAGUAGAUUGAGUGUUCUCCAAAGAAUGACUUAAAAAAGCAAAAGCAAU
rnacentral:lncRNA from 1 species